CCUACGGGUGGCAGCAGUAGGGAAUAGUGCUCAAUGGGGGAAACCCUGAAGCAGCAACGCCGCGUGGAGGAUGAAGGUUUUCGGAUUGUAAACUCCUUUUGGUAGAGAAGAGAAUGACGGUAACUAACGAAUAAGCACCGGCUAACUCCGGGCAAGCAGCCGCGGUAAUACGGAGGGUGCAAGCGUGACUCGGAACCCCUGGGCGUCAAGAGCGCGUAGGCGGGAUAGCAAGUCAGAUGUGAAAUCCUAUGGCUUAACCAUAGAACUGCCUUUGAAACUGUUAUUCUAGAGUAUGGGAGAGGUAGGUGAAAUUCUUGGUGUAGGGGUAAAAUCCGUAGAGAUCAAGAGGAAUACUCAUUGCGAAGGCGACCUGCUAGAACAUACCUGACGCUGCUGCGCGACAGCGUGGGGAGCAAACAGGAUUAGAUACCCGUGUAGUC
rnacentral:rRNA from 1 species